GUAGGAGGCGAGCGUUAUCCGGAUUUACUGGGCGUAAAGCGCGUGCAGGCGGUUUGGUAAGUCGGACGUUAAAGCUCCUGGCUCAACUGGGAGAGGCCGUUCGAUACUGUCAGACUAGAGGGCAGCAGAGGGAGGUGGAAUUCAGGGUGUAGCGGUGAAAUGCGUAGAUAUCCUGAGGAACACCAGUGGCGAAGGCGGCCUCCUGGACUGUCCCUGACGCUAAGACGCGAAAGCUAGGGUAGCAAACGGGGGAUUAGAAACCCCGGUAGUCCUAGCCGUAAACGAUGCAGACUUGGUGUUGGUGGUGUAGAAGCCAUCAGUGCCGUAGCUAACGCGAUAAGUCUGCCGCCUGGGGACUACGACCGCAAGGUUA
rnacentral:rRNA from 1 species